rnacentral:rRNA from 1 species
UACGUAGGGUGCGAGCGUUGUCCGGAAUUAUUGGGCGUAAAGGGCUCGUAGGCGGUCUGUCACGUCGGGAGUGAAAACACGGGGCUUAACCCCGUGCCUGCUUCCGAUACGGGCAGACUAGAGGUAUGCAGGGGAGAACGGAAUUCCUGGUGUAGCGGUGAAAUGCGCAGAUAUCAGGAGGAACACCGGUGGCGAAGGCGGUUCUCUGGGCAUUACCUGACGCUGAGGCGCGAAAGCGUGGGGAGCAAACAGG